rnacentral:rRNA from 1 species
GCAAGUCGAGCGAACUGAUUAGAAGCUUGCUUAUAUGACGUUAGCGGCGGACGGGUGAGUAACACGUGGGCAACCUGCCUGUAAGACUGGGAUAACUUCGGGAAACCGAAGCUAAUACCGGAUAGGAUCUUCUCCUUCAUGGGAGAUGAUUGAAAGAUGGUUUCGGCUAUCACUUACAGAUGGGCCCGCGGUGCAUUAGCUAGUUGGUGAGGUAACGGCUCACCAAGGCAACGAUGCAUAGCCGACCUGAGAGGGUGAUCGGCCACACUGGGACUGAGACACGGCCCAGACUCCUACGGGAGGCAGCAGUAGGGAAUCUUCCGCAAUGGACGAAAGUCUGACGGAGCAACGCCGCGUGAGUGAUGAAGGCUUUCGGGUCGUAAAACUCUGUUGUUAGGGAAGAACAAGUACGAGAGUAACUGCUCGUACCUGACGGUACUAGA